rnacentral:rRNA from 1 species
CCUACGGGAGGCAGCAGUGGGGAAUAUUGCACAAUGGGGGAAACCCUGAUGCAGCGACGCCGCGUGAAGGAAGAAGUAUUUCGGUAUGUAAACUUCUAUCAGCAGGGAAGAAAAUGACGGUACCUGACUAAGAAGCCCCGGCUAACUACGUGCCAGCAGCCGCGGGAAUACGUAGGGGGCAAGCGUUAUCCGGAUUUACUGGGUGUAAAGGGGGCGUAGGCGGCGAUGCAAGUCAGAAGUGAAAGCCCUGGUCUCAACUCCGGGACUGCUUUUGAUACUGUGUUGCUAGAUUGCAGGAGAGGUAAGUGGAAUUCCUAGUGUAGCGGUGAAAUGCGUAGAUAUUAGGAGGAACACCAGUGGCGAAGGCGGCUUACUGGACUGUAAAUGACGCUGAGGCUCGAAAGCGUGGGGAGCAAACAGGAUUAGAUACCCCUGUAGUC